AACGAACGCUGGCGGCAUGCCUAACACAUGCAAGUCGAACGAAGGCUUCGGCCUUAGUGGCGCACGGGUGCGUAACGCGUGGGAAUCUGCUCCUCGGUUCGGAAUAACAGUUAGAAAUGACUGCUAAUACCGGAUGAUGACUUCGGUCCAAAGAUUUAUCGCCGAGGGAUGAGCCCGCGUAAGAUUAGGUAGUUGGUGGGGUAAAGGCCUACCAAGCCGACGAUCUUUAGCUGGUCUGAGAGGAUGAUCAGCCACACUGGGACUGAGACUCGGCCCAGACUCCUACGGGAGGCAGCAGUGGGGAAUAUUGGACAAUGGGCGAAAGCCUGAUCCAGCAAUGCCGCGUGAGUGAUGAAGGCCUUAGGGUUGUAAAGCUCUUUUACCAGGGAUGAUAAUGACAGUACCUGGAGAAUAAGCUCCGGCUAACUCCGUGCCAGCAGCCGCGGUAA
rnacentral:rRNA from 1 species